rnacentral:tRNA from 1 species
GCCUUGGUGGUUUAGUGAUAGAAUUCUUGCCUUCCAUAUGGAAGACCCAGGUUCAAUUCUUGGCCAAUGUG